CCUACGGGAGACAGCAGUGAGGAAUAUUGGUCAAUGGACGAGAGUCUGAACCAGCCAAGUAGCGUGAAGGAUGACUGCCCUAUGGGUUGUAAACUUCUUUUAUAUGGGAAUAAACUGUUCCACGUGUGGGAUUUUGUAUGUACCAUAUGAAUAAGGAUCGGCUAACUCCGUGCCAGCAGCCGCGGUAAUACGGAGGAUCCGAGCGUUAUCCGGAUUUAUUGGGUUUAAAGGGAGCGUAGGUGGAUUGUUAAGUCAGUUGUGAAAGUUUGCGGCUCAACCGUAAAAUUGCAGUUGAAACUGGCAGUCUUGAGUACAGUAGAGGUGGGCGGAAUGCGUGGUGUAGCGGUGAAAUGCUUAGAUAUCACGAAGAACUCCGAUUGCGAAGGCAGUUCACUGGACUGCAACUGACACUGAGGCUCGAAAGUGUGGGUAUCAAACAGGAUUAGAUACCCGGGUAGUC
rnacentral:rRNA from 1 species